UUGAAGGGGUCUUGAUGGAUAAGGAAACAGGAGAAAAACUAGGCAGCUGAACAGAUACAGAAGCCAAAGGUGGAGAGAAAGGAGGGGGUAGUCAACAUCGCCCCAUGCCCCGGGGGACCAGAGAGGAUGGAGAUUCAGGCCAUAGGUCUGACUUUUGAGAAUGAUUUCUUCAGAUUGGGACUUGCCAGACAUCUUCUUCAGUUAUGUACGUAGCCUUGGAAACAAAGACUUCUGCCAUCAGAUGGAGAAACUGAGGCUACGAGAGGUUUAGUGACUUUCCAAAGAUCACCCAGAGUGCGGACUCAAAUCUAGAUCUUUGACAACAAAGUCUAGGUUCUUCUCAUGUGCUACAGUGACUCUAGGCAUUUCCCAUCAUCGUGUAAUAAACCAGCCAGUUACUUAGCCAUCUGAAAAGAAUACGAAAAUAGAAACAUCACCCCACUGGAUCAGAUCUGUGAAGAGAGCCGCAGCUUCGUGUCCAGUCUGACAGCGGGAGUUUGUGGGAGCGUGAUCAUUUCAGAGCUAGAAACUUCACCUUCAAAACCUUCCCAAGGAGCCUGUAGGAACCUCUUUACCAAUUUUUACUCCUUGUUGUCUACUGAAUAGCUUCAGGUGGUAUCUUUUAAAGCUUCAGAUAAAAAUACAUUUAGGGCCCUGUGUCAGUCCUUAACAGCAUCGUGGUGGUGAGAGAGAGGGGACUAAGGCAUCAGUUGUUUUUUACUAAGAACUAAAGGACUGUGUUUUAGGGAUUGCAAAUGGGUAGAUGAAAGCUGGAGAAAUUGAAAGUGGCAAAAUUAUUCAAGAAGUUGCAAUGUUCAAACAAGGCAAAAAUUGUCAUGAUAAGUGUCUCUGGUUUACAGUGAAGGUAACUGGAGUUUGGUGGCGGGUUUCAGUGCCUCUGCGGGCUGGAGAAAGUACCCAGUGCAGGGUCAGCAAACUGCGGCUUGGGGGUCAGAUCCGAGCUACCACCUGUUUUUGUAGAGCCCAUGAGUUAAGAAUGCUUUUCGAAUGUUUAAAUGGUUGAAAAAUAAAUCAAAAGAAUAUUUUAUGACAUGUGAAAGUUAUAUGAAGUUCACAUUUCAGUGUCCAUAAAUAAAAUUUUGUUGGAACACAACCACGUCC
ensembl:lncRNA